CCUACGGGGGGCAGCAGUGGGGAAUAUUGCGCAAUGGGCGAAAGCCUGACGCAGCGACGCCGCGUGCGGGAUGAAGGUCUUCGGAUCGUAAACCUCUGUCAGCAGGGAAGAACGGUCACUGUGCUAAUCAGCAGUGAAUUGACGGUACCUGCUAAGGAAGCACCGGCUAACUCCGUGCCAGCAGCCGCGGUAAUACGGAGGGUGCGAGCGUUAAUCGGAAUUACUGGGCGUAAAGCGCUCGUAGGCGGUAUGUCAAGUCAAGGGUGAAAUCCCCGGGCUCAACGUGGGAACCGUUUUUGAAACUGGCAAACUAGAGUGUGUUAGAGGAUAGUGGAAUUCCAGGUGUAGGAGUGAAAUCCGUAGAUAUAUGGAGGAACAUCAGUGGCGAAGGCGACUAUCUGGCACAUAACUGACGCUGAGGAGCGAAAGCGUGGGUAGCAAACAGGAUUAGAUACCCUGGUAGUC
rnacentral:rRNA from 1 species